rnacentral:rRNA from 1 species
AGAGUUUGAUCCUGGCUCAGGACGAACGCUGGCGGCGUGCCUAAUACAUGCAAGUCGAGCGGACUUAGUUGAGAGCUUGCUCUUAGCUAGGUUAGCGGCGGACGGGUGAGUAACACGUAGGCAACCUGCCCUCAAGACCGGGAUAACAUUCGGAAACGGAUGCUAAGACCGGAUACGCAAUUUUGUCGCAUGACGGGAUU